rnacentral:rRNA from 1 species
GACGAACGCUGGCGGCAUGCCUAAUACAUGCAAGUCGAGCGAACGGAUGAAGUGCUUGCACUUCUGACGUUAGCGGCGAACGGGUGAGUAACACGUAAGGAAUCUACCUAUAAGCGGGGGAUAACAUUCGGAAACGGGUGCUAAUACCGCAUAAUAUCUUCUUCCGCAUGGAAGAAGAUUGAAAGACGGCUCUGCUGUCACUUAUAGAUGACCUUGCGGUGCAUUAGUUAGUUGGUGGGGUAAUGGCCUACCAAGACGAUGAUGCAUAGCCGACCUGAGAGGGUGAACGGCCACCUUGGGACGAGGACACGGCCCAAACUCCUACGGGAGGAAGCAGUAGGGAAUCUUCCGCAAUGGGCGAAAGCCUGACGGAGCAAUGCCGCGUGAGUGAAGAAGGCCUUCGGGUCGUAAAACUCUGUUAUAAGAGAAGAACAAAUUGUAGAGUAACUGCUACAGUCUUGACGGUAUCUUAUCAGAAAGCCACGGCUAACUACGUGCCAGCAGCCGCCGCCG